rnacentral:lncRNA from 1 species
UCCUUUUCUUUCAAUCGAAUGCCUCAAGGCCUCUUUCUUAGCUUAGGUUAUCUCCUUGACAAAAAAAUAGACUACUACGAAGGCUGGUGAGAAUGUAAUGGAACUAUAUGGCGGAGAACUAACGAGAAAUCUUUAUCCAACAAUCACUUAAACAAAAAUCCCCGGUCAGGAAAAGCAAGCUCUAUCCAAGAGAGCAGGAACUUUGCACUCUAUUACUUAGAACUAGCAGUAACACUCGAAAGUAGGCCACUCACACUGCAACACGAGGGAAACUCACAAUGUAAAGGGAACUUCUAUAUUAAUAAAGAAUACACAGAUAGAUGGACUGAUACUAUAGAAAUAAGUGUGGAAUGGUCUUCUCAACCACUGAGAAAUCAAAACAGUAGGGUUUCACUAAGUCCCCUGCAGCACUCUUACCCGACGAUGACACAGCCCCAUGGAAAAGCUCUAUUCUUCCGCUUAAUGCUUCUGCUUGCUGACGGACUCCAAUGCGUAUCUCUUUUCUGCUAGACGGACUCCAAUGCUUAUCUUUUUGAUCUAUUGUAGGUUCAACCCCAGGUUAUGGAUCCAUGGUUACAGGCCAGCUAUCCUAUUGUCUCGUAUGGAUCGAUACUAGAAAACCCUACCAAGUGCCCGUGGAACGCAUUUAAAGGGCUAGAGCUAGAGACCGACGGGGAUCGGAUCGAGAAAACCAAUCGCGGGGAAGGCGGAAACAGCACCCAUUGAUACUCUUUCGGAAAAUGGGAAAACUGCUGGUAAGGUAAAAGGAGACUUUUAGAGGGCAAAAGGACGCACUUAUCCUAACACUUAAACAGAUGCGGUUGUAUAUCCUUUGUUUUCACUCACACCACUCUAUAUGGAUGGUGAUGAUUAGUCUCUUUGGUUAUUAGUAGAAAUAGAAGAAAAGCGCGUUAGCGAGUUCUGCCCACUACACGGUUGAAAGUAGGAGUCUAAAGUCAGCGGACCUACCCUACUGAACUUGAAAGUUGCAAAGCCAAGAAAACGAUCACUUUGAUACUUCACUCAAUAGGUACAGCCAAGAGAACCAGAACAAAAUAAUACUUAGGUAACAAUAGGUACAGCCAAGAGAACCGGAACACCAUUAUAUACUUGCUAGCCCUAAUAUACCUGAACUGAACGGAACGAAUUUGUCUUAUUCCCUCUUGCCCCCGGACUUUGAUUAUGGCCUUCCCGCUGUAGCUCAAAGCAAACUCCGUAAGCGCACCUUUCCUAACUCACUAUAGCACCCCUAAAUGAGAACCUAAACGGAACUUCUACAGAGAGCAUUGCUUUCUUUUACCGGGGUCCAAAUUGAUUGAUGAUACCCUACUUUCGCUGUUGCUUGCGCCAAACUAAGUUAGCGCUACGGUAUAGGUUGCUUGUUCCUAAGCUUGUUUCUUAUUAAUUUCAUGCGCCUGCCUUCCUAUUCUCUUGUUUCUUAUUAAUUUCAUGCGCCUUCCUAUUCUAUCAGAGAUUAAUAAACACAGCACUUAGAGCCGGUCUAUACUACUAUUAGAGCCGGUCUACAACUAUAAGGGUUCAAAACCCAGAUACUCCACUUUCCACUAAACAGCUUUGCCUGAGAGCAGCGAGAUCCAAAACUCCUUUACCGCCACAGCUUUGCCUGAGAGCUACGAGAUCCAAAACUCGCCACUGCUUCCCUUUUGCUUUUGCUUCAAAACUCUGUUAUGGAACUUUUGCCGUUCACUUCUCUAACUCUAACGCGAAUAGUAGUGUUCGUUCUGCUGCUUGUUGAGUUCGGCGUUGCUUGCUGAAAACACGGGUGACUUGCUUGCUCCCUUGCUUCCUCACUUAUGACUGCUGGCUCUGCUCUACCAAAGUUCCGGGAAUAACAGAAUCGAGUGCGGUGUACUACUUAUGUCAUUUCUUAAAAACAGAGCAUUGCUUAUUUAAAGCUAACGUUAGCGCCCCGAUAGCUCACUAAGGCUUCCUUUCCUUACCGGGGUGUUUAAGCAACUUGACUUGAUACGUGCAUGAACUACGCAGUAAGCUUCAUUGGGCCAGUGUGAGGUAAACACCUUGCUUUAAUUAAGGGGAAUGAAAUACAAAAGAAUAAGAAGUCGCAUAAUAUAGAAUGGAGUAAACGAACUGCUUGCUUUAAGUUAGAAUAGCUAUAGGUGCUUGGCUUGUUGCAUCUUAUUAGUGUAUCUAUGCUUGUCAUUAUUGAACCUAAUUCCUUACUUCUAAAGCAACAACAGUUUGGCCAGUGCUCAGUCAACUUUCUUCUUCUGAGACUUAUUUCAAAUCAUCUAUCUAUCUAUCUUGCACAAUAUAGAAAAUGAAAUAUGGUAAACAAACGGUAUUGCUUCCUAACUCACUCUCUCUCUCUAUAAGGCACCCGCCGGAAAGUAUGUUGAAUCGAAUUGAGGCACAGCACUGUUAUCAGAGUUGAGACUAUCGCCCCUGCCUUUCAUAAUUCAGAAUGGAAUUUGGCGUUAUCCGUUUCUACUAGCGAAAGACACACACCUAUUUGAGAAUGGAAUUUGGCGUUAUCAGUAUAGAUCUCAGUAAAAGCACACUACUUACUCUCAAAGGGAUAAUGUAGGCUCAGUUACGUUGCUUGGACCACAACUCCGUUUAGGCUGGAACUUCAUCUUUCUCGUUUUAGGGUUUACAGCCAGCCCCGCCCCGAAGAAAGCUCUUGUUGUUGAAUUGAGGCACAUGGUUAUAUAAUCUAUUUGUAUUUACUGUGGAACCCUUACUUAUUACAUCAAAGGUCUGCUCGAUUGAAUGAAGAAGAGUAACCCGAUCCACCGCUGAUCUCUUGUACCAGUGUAGUGUGAUAAGCCAGGCAUCAAAGAAAAGCAACCAGCUAACGACGCCUUAACGUUUUGAUGCUUGCUAAAGCAGAGUGAUUUUCAGGUUGGAGAGUCCGGAGAACAAGCAAACAAGUGAACAAACAACGGAACAAGAAAAGAAUGAAGCCUAUCCACACAAAUAUCUGAAUUAUUAACAAUACAGCUUUUGCUUCCUUAAAGAACAAAUAGGCGCCGAACACUGGACCGGGCCUACUGCUUUCCAACCUUCUUUUGACCUUGCACGCCUUUCUCUUAUUAUAUGAAAUUGUCUUAUAUGAAAUGUUUGAUAUGAAAUUAUCGUAUUAUAUGAUCUUCUCGGACCCUUUUUGCCAAAUCGGUGUCAAUAUUCUAUAGUAUGAGGUUCAACCAUUUGCGGAGCUAGUUCUAUUCCUCUCUCCGCUGUUUCGCCUCCCGCUUGCUCUAGGAUCUCAGGCCCUAAGCUAGAGCCGGCAUGGGAUAAGCAUGUUUCCCGCACCCCAUGAGUGGUAACUUGCUCGACCCCCUGCUUCGAGAGCUGACACCUCUCAAUUCCCAGUCUACCCUUUUUCUCAACAAGAGCACCCUUAACUCCUCUUUCAGGUAACUUAAGAAGUCUUCUGUCUAGCUUCGCUAACCUUUUCUGUGUGACAACAAGAUUUCAUUAUGUAGCUUCUCUGUUCCCAGGAGCUUCGAAGUCCUCGGCUCGGGGAUGUUGCUUUUCUAAUCCCAGCUCUUGCAACCGUACUUGUACUGGGAUAUGAGAAAGGCCGUAUUUACUUUACACCACCUACAAGCUUCGGAAGGUCGAGAUUUUAGGAAGUGUCAAAGAUGUCGCCAUCUUCGGGGACAAGAACAAGCUCAAUAAAAGCUUCCUUUCGAGGUUUCUUCUGUCUUUUGUCUUUUGAAAAUACCUAUAGGUUGAAGUUCACUCUAUAUCACUAAUGAUUCUAAGGGCAUUUAUUUGCCAUCGGCUCGGAUUCUAAUGAACAAGCUCCAAUCCACAGAGAAGAGAAGGAAGAGGAGAAGAGCUGGAAUAGUUUCAUAUAUGGAAGCCGGCCUUUCUUUAAGUACUAUGCUUCUUGCUAGUAGAUUGGAAAUGCUCACACCCAACCCCGUCAUUAUUUUGUCUUUGUUCCGUGGGGUAGUAGCAGUUACUUCCCUUUGUGUGUCAGUCUUCUAUUCGUUGUCAAUUAUGGGCCUUACACUGACCCCAGGAGGUACACUUUAGGUCCUUUACUCUCAUUCUCAAGGCAAUUCCAUUCUGGUGUGCGGAAGCCUGCUUUCUGCUAAGUACUUUAAGAAACGGCCUUAGCUGCUCAUCCCAUAACCCGCUUCCCUCGACUGCCUUCAGAGAAGAGUAGGGAGAUUUCGAAGAAUUCCAUUCCAGAAAAGUGGUCAAGGUUGGAAGGAAGAACAAGGCUAACGACGUAGCAUACAUUAGGCAAGACUAUCUUAUGAGAGUCUAAUUAGCGAGGACUAGCUCUAUUUGCUUGUGAGCGUACGAAGAGCGGUUACGAAUAAGAUCGGCAUGCAUGGUGAGCUAGGAGGUAGGGCUUAUUAUUUCGCGAAGGAAGGUCUACGAUCAGUCAACUGAAUGCUCUUUGAUGAUCUUUCUCUUUGGGUUGGUUGGGGCCCACGGGACUUAAGUGACUGGUGGCAACAACACUCCGUGCAUCCUUUGGAUGUGAAAGCCCCGCAUAGAGUUAAGCGCUAAGGGAAGCGGAGAGCUAGAGGUUAAUAGGUAAUGAAAUAGAGUGAGGAAAGCAGCUUCGGUUCAGUUCGGGUGCGCUUCUCUGACCCGGGAACCUUAUUACCAAGAUUAGAUACUCACCACCUAAGCGAGCCUUGACUACGAAAGCGAAACGUUGCGGCUAUUCUUCAUAUGUCAAAAAGAAAGAAAGUGAGAAGGAUUUGUUGAUAGUUGCAUUCUGACUUUAGAGUGGAGAGCAAGCACUAGAGUGAGUUUGAUUCUUCUACUUCUUUGUUUCAUCCUAUUUGGAGAGUGUAAUAUGAAGCUGUAUCCAGAUGUAGGGUAAGAGAGCGGUGUUGUCGGUUCUGAGUCUUAAGCGGUUGGUACGACUUAAUCAUUCGGUUCCUUUCCUAAAGUUGAGUUAGAGUUAAGCGAGUGAGAGGGGCGAUCUUAUUGCAACACCGCCAAGUCACUGCCAACAUAGCCCUGUUUUAUAGGCUUGAAAUGAACGAAAACAUCACAGUAGUCGUUUGAUGGCAAAUGCCCUAUAGACUUAUCGGCUUUAGAAAUGCAUUGACGCCUAACAUCUUGACCCUAUUGCUCUGCUCGGCUCUUAACAUCUUUGGUCAUAGUCAAUUCCAUUCUUAUGUACCAAGUCCUGUGCUCGCCUCACUCGAUCGACUCAGGCGUUGGUUUGAUUCCUUUUAUAUGUACCCGCUAAGGCAACCCUGUCCGCAUUGUUUUUGAUGUUUAGGAUUGAGCUUCUGAUGUAGUCAGUAGGAACCGUUGUUAUGUUUUGAGCGGAUCCACACACACCUGAACAGACUAGUCUACGCCCAGCCAGCCCGUAAGCCUUUCCCACCCCAGGAAAGCGAGCCCAUAAUAAGAGUCAGAUACCUGCCACCCUAUCCAAAUCGAAAAAUGAACAAGAAGAACGAUAAAGUAGGUAGACCCAUAGGAAGAAACGGACAUAAAUCUUGGGUACAUCCAAGAAUGAAAGAAGAACGGAGGGCUUUCUUUGAGCUUAUAGGUCUGGGAGUUCUUAGCUAAAUUGACUAACGCUCCGACUACCGAAACUAGCUUAGGAGCUUUUAAGCGGAAAUGAAAUGAAUCUAUCUCUUCCUACGUAAUUGGAAGAAGCAUAAAGCAGAAAUGACUUUCUGAAUCGUUACUUUCCUUUCACCUAUAGAAUCUUAUUUCUCUACGGUAUAUAUACGAGUAUCAAAUCAGAUUUCUCUACGGUAUAUAUACUAGUAUACUUUGGAAGGUAUAUCUACUAGUAUACUUAUUAAGCUGGGGCGGUCUCUUUUUAGUAAGUUGAAGGCCAGGCCCUUGCUUAUGGAUAAGCCGUUGUUUUCCCUCACAAUGCUGAAACCCAUAAAGUGUGAGUGCUGAGCCCUUUGCUUUGCUGUCAAUUUGACUCGGAAAGAAAAAGGCUUCAUUAAGUGGGGAUCUCCUCUAGUUCUGACCGUCCAGGUAUACUCUAUAGCUCUCCGCCGUAAGAACCUAAGAGCUAACUGCAGGCAGGAUAUAUUCUCAAGAAAGUCCAAUUGGGAGCCUAUCUCUUAAUCGGUAGCUUACGAGCAUAUCGACGUUCCAUCUCUGGGAGUCCAUCUUCUUUCCCGUUUGUUUAAGUUGGAGUUCCCUUCGGGAGGUGGGAAAGUUAGCUCCACCGGCCAGUCUCCUAGGGUCUAAUACUGGGAGUGACUACGGUUUCAAGGGGAGACGGCAAGUUAACAAGCAAGUUGAUUUCACCAAUACAGUGAGCUAGCUCCAUUCUUUAUUCCAGUGUGGAACUAGAACCAGCCUAUAAUCUAAAAGCAUUACCUACGAAGAUGGAUUAGGAUAGCUCAAAGACAGAUUAGCGGAAUUCCGAGUGAGUUUCUAGGCUAAGGAACGAACUUCCCGACAUUCCAUUUGAACCUUCGCAAAGACAAUGGUUGUAUAGAACGAGCUCAUAGCCCUAAUAGCAGAUUGAAACUGGAAUAGCUAGUAUGAAUCGCAAUCCCAAUGCAAUGCUUCUCUCUCUUUCCCUCUAUCAUUCCACUUCAUGUAAUAUUAUUUAGAUAACUUCAUGUAAUAUUUUUUAGAUAAGAUAUAUGGAGUAGGGAUAGAUAAGAUAUAUGGAGUAGGGACCAGUUAGCUGAAAGAGCGAGCCAAUCUUUCUUUCUUUUGAAAUCUGAAAAAAGAAAAGGAAUUUGGGAAACCAUAUGGUCUGCUGGCCUUAUCUCUACUCGAGUGUGUGAAGCAGGUUUGAAGGAUGGGAGAGAACAAUGGUAAACGGCUUUAUCCAACGGUGAACCAUCAAUCGCAAAGAUCGAGCCAUCAAAAGAAAAGAGGUGGAACAGAUCAACGAUCCUUCUAAUCCUAUUGAUCUAAGGAUGGAACAAAGCCCCGUCGUAGCUUCCUAUUAUCCGGUAAGCCGUUAAUACCCAGGUAGUUCUUAGAGGGUUGUGAGAGGGAGAAUCUGAAGGAGAUCAAGAGUCAACCAUCCUUCGCUGCAAAAACAAUACCUGCUGUGGACUUUGUGGACGUCUCAAAGCUUCCAGACCCUUGUUUUGAGGGGGAGAGACCACACAUAAAGAUAGCGCAGGACGCCUCCCUUCUAGUUCGAGGGCUUUACUACAGCAAGCAUAGCUUAAUCGGUCACCUUCAUCUUUCUAAGAUCCCCAUUCUUCAUCUUUCUAAGAUCCCCAUUCUUAGGGUAAGGAAGAUGGCAAAGCAGCUGUGGAAACCAAGCGAAAAUCAAAAGCGAACCUAGCUUUGUAAGGGUGAAUUUCGGAUUGAUAACAAGUUCUUCCUCAGAUUCAAGGAAAAGAGAGAAAGGCUAACGAACGUGGAUGUGUAAAAGCCUAAAGGGCGGAAGCAGCAAGUAGCUGGGGAAUGGCCAGAUUCCUCUCUGCCCUCUGCUCGGCAACGCAAUUCCCAUGCUCUAACGAGCACCAGCACCCCUCUUUCAAACUCACCUCACUCUCACUCUAGCUCAUUUCCUUCCGGCGUGACAUGGAUGAUCCGCCGACCGAAUCCAUUGCUCACUUCACCACGAUCCAUUAGGUGAAACGGUUGUGCAAAGUGUGUUUUUUUCAUAUAGGCAGCGUGGUUAUAGUACUCUGAUUGUGCCAGCCAUGCAAUUCGUACUUCAUUGGCUGAAUGGCUAUACACUCUCUAAAUGGAGGCUCGAGAAGUGUUUUCUUCAUCAAAUUCCAAUCACUGAAAUGGAGUAAUAGCACGCUACUAUAGCAGAUGCUGUAAGGCUCGCUCCAAUUGUAAACGAAGCACGUAGAAAACGAACUGCGCCAACGCCGGAGAACCAACACAGUUUCUAGAUAAUAUUAGCUUUGGAUCAAUUUGAGACAGCAACCUAGUGUUGUUUAGGAAAGCCUUUUGCACCUCAAAAGAAGUCAAAGAGAGAAUGCCUCACCUAAGUUAGGAUCUAUGUAGGAGGAGGGCGCCUACAGUAAAGGGAUAUGUGGUUACUACCACAACUUUAAUGCGGAAAGGCCUUAGUCUUCGGUCAUAACUUUCGCAUUGGUCAUCCAAUAAAAUCCCUGCCGAAACAGCACCGUCUUUCUUUUUUUAUCCAAUCCCAGCAAAGCUACAACUCGAGAACUUUUCAUUCCCACUUUAGUGUCCUACCAACUACCUAUGGCCUAUUUUUGUUCCACUCUGCUUUACACUCCAAGGGUUCUUUUGGAUCAUAAGCCUAAAAGUUCCAUUCAUGGCCUGGUUUCAGAUUGAAGAGAAUCAUAAGUCAUUAAUUGGAUUAUUCAUAUACGGCUGCCCCUUUCAAGUUAUCCUUAUCUACUGAGGUAUCUGCCCUACACACAUUGGUUGAAGGACGUUCCUUCUUGUUCUCUAUAUCAAAUGAUGGAUCAUUUUGGACUUGUGCGGUUAUUCUGCCUCAACCGACUGGACCACUUUUCUCUCUUGGAUUUGAUAAGAAAGAAGGAAAAACUAACCAUCAAGCAUGCGGGUACAAAGUUGGAUCAAAUGCGGAUUCCUCCACUGUUUCCUUUGCUUGAAAUCUAGCUUCGAUCAGAGUUUGCCUUUGCUGCUGCGGCGUCUUCCUUGGGAUACCCACACCACCUAUGUAGAAUAGAGUUCCUGGAAACGUUCCUUUAAGUAUAAGUGUUUUAAAGACCCGGGCAGAUGCUUACGAGGAGCUAAAGACAUAGCCGGUGGAUAUAGUAAUUCUAAGUCAAGUCAGAUGCUUACGAGGAGCUAAAGACAUAGAUAGCGAGUAUAUCCACAAAUUCCUCAGUCUUUCGCUCUCCAACCGCACACUGGGAUUUGGAAAGAAAACGAACAUAAAGCUCGAGCUAAUAUAAUGGUUUUAGUUGCACGUGGAUUGUAAGUUCGUGGAUUCUCCAAAAUAGAAAUAGACUAUUGCCAACGAAUGAAUUGGAAGAGGGGUACUCGCUACUUGGUUAAGUAAAGUCGCCUAUCCAUUUGUUUAUAGCAACCCCUGCCCGGGACGCAGUAUCACUAUUCUAGGCUACAUCCUAUAACGAAUAAGCUGACUAUUUCCAUCUUUCUUACGAAUAUAAGGGAGCUCGGGAUAGCACAACAAACCGAACCAAGACCUUCUCUGACUGACGGGUACUAUACUCAUCCACACUUUUUCCAUCAUCCGAUCUAGAUGAAGAGAGGUGUCGUUUACCAGUGGCGCAACAUACUAAUAGUCAGAAAGUCGCCAGGAGCCGUAGCUCAAUAGCUCUAUUUAAUAGAAUCCGUUUUCUCAAAACAAAAAGGGCUACUAUACUAGCAUGAGUCAGAAAAGAAGCACAUCGUACGAGCAAGAACCCCGCCUAUAAAUAAAGGUGGUAAGAAUCGUCGCUCCAGUGCCUGGUAUGAUAAAGGUAUAGCAUAUCGAUAUGACCUGUACCCAUUCGAUUUUCGCUUUUCUUCGAAAAAGAUUGUAUGUGCACUACUUCAUGGGUAGAUACUCAAAUACAAGCAAGGGACUAUUUACUUGGUUUUACUUACACUAACUCUCAUGCUAUAAAUGUAUCCAAAAGCCGCAGCUAGUCAAUCAUUCUUGUUUCACGAUCCGCAAAUUCCUCAAUACAAAGGCGUGACUCACCAAACUCCGAAAUAAGUCAAACUAAGUCGGGCAUGCAGAUCCCUUUUGCUACGAUGAACAUUAGUAAAGUUCCUAUUUAUGUGCCUUUAUCACCAAUUCUUAUUCACAAAUAAUGGAUCAAUAGACUUCUUUUCCGUACACUUCGUAGUCUACUCACCAACUCUUUGCCUUUGAUCUGGGACCCUUGAGUGACAUGAUUCUUAGUAGUCUAUGAUUAUUACAGUAGGUACUCUCUAACUAUUACCCAGACCGAGAUAGAGAUGGACGAAGGAUCUCCUAUUAUGCUAAUAGAGCAAUAAACCCCCGGGUACAAGAAUACUAAGCAGACUUUCACUCCGCCUUUCUAGUAGCAAUUAGUAGCAAUUCAGACAACAAACUUCCUCUUAUUAUUUCGCAAAUGCCGCUGAUGCGUAAUACAUUGAGUUGGACAGCUUUCCUUGAGCAGAUAGGACAGAGCGCCAUCAACAGACGCGAAGAAAGCACCUAACUGGGGUUGAACUGAACAGCCUCGAUCCUCAUCUCCUCACAGAAAUACCUUGCCUAGCUCUACUUUAUUAUAGCAGGAACCCAGAGUAAGCCUUUCUCUCGUGGCUUUCGCACGUUGAUCUUUCUAUACGAGCGCUAAAAGGAAAAAGGGAAGCAGUGUGCAUAAGUGAAAGAGUGCAAUUCGUCAUCUGCAAUCGGAAAGUGACCUUCUUGUAUAGGGCGGGCAAGAACUGGUAGAGCAAGUAGUUGUCGUUUCUAAAGUCAGAGGGAAUGCUACUCCGCAGAUUCCACUCGUACACAAGGAGUAGAUGCAAUCUUUCUGUUUCAUCUGUUGCCAGAGGUAUAGCUUAUAGGUAUGGGAGAGUCUAUAUAUCCAACUUGUGCUUACGCGAGCGGAACGGGGCGCUACCACUAAUUGUAGUUGCUGUGCUGGUUGACUUAUUUCUUUAGUGGCUGUAGUUGCUGGUUGACUUAUUUCUUUAGUGGCUUUUAGGCUUGGUUGGUUUCCUCGGGGCUAACGGAGCUCCCUGUGCUCGAAAGAUUAUUGUCCCGUCCUGUUUGCCCUAUAUAGUAUCUCCGCUCGAAAGUCAGAGUAUAAAGAAUUUCAGACAGAAUACUUAGUAGGGUCAGCAGCGAGAUCAGUGAUUGGUUUGCUUUCCCGAGGAGUGGUGGCCAUUUAGAUUGAUGUUUUCCUCCAUCCUCUAUAGCAACUGAUCCUUACUCUGUCUGAUCUUGUAGACUUUCCUUGCACUAUUGAUUCUCUCGUAGACUUAACAAGCACGAGAACUCAAACUUCUAUUUAUGAAUCGACAACACCUGACCUCACUCUACUUGUUGAUUUAUCCGCGAUAGAGGUUAUUGGUGAUUUAUUGGCUUGACGUCUAUGAUAGAGGUGAUUGAUUGUAUCGGUGCUGUAGCUCCUUGUAAUGGGGGAGGCUCUUUACUUGACCUUAGUUGUCGACGAUAGAGGUACUCGUGUGAAGCAUCUAUUUCCUAUGUUGUCUUUACUGAGGUACCCGUGUGAAGCAUCUAUUUCCUAUGUUGUCUUUACUUACGAGAAAGAAAUCAAGAAAGUCAUACUCAUUCAUUACCAAUCCAUAGAAUUAAUGAAUAGGAAAAUCAGAUCAAUUCCAAAUGAGGGUAUAUGUUCCUAACCAGCUCUAGUUCCUGGUAUUACACUAACUCAAUCUCCUUGCUACUGCUCGGGGGGCUGGGGCAAAAAAGAAAGACGCUAAUCCAGAGGCUUCGAACUAUUGAUUGGAAAAAAUAGGAAAGCAUAUGGGGCAAGGCCCUAAUAAGAUAGAUCAUUGCUAGAGAGGGCCAGGAAAGUGGCGAUUAGAAAGAGGUGUUUUUACCUUUGAGACUAUUUGACCGAGGGUUAUCUCCCUGGCAAGUGAAAUGGAUUCGAUUCUCCCCCAAUCAACGAGGUUUUCACGUCCCAAGCACACACAGGUUAUUUUUCUUCUAUCACGUGCACAUUUUCAAAGCAGAUGAAUUUGCUAACAAGCCAAAAGCGAAAGUAGAGGAAAGAGCAAGAGAGCAGUACUCGCAGAGAGAGAAACAAAGACCCAGAUCGCAAAGCACGUAGGAAAGUCAUAGGAGUUCAGAUGCGGUGACAGCAAGAGCCUUAUUGCCCCGCCCCUUACUAACGCCUAGUUUCUUUUCUUUCGUCCUGACCUUUGACUUUGCAUGCUAGGCUUGGCCCGACUCCUUAAUAUAGGGGAGUUGACUUACUUUGUGGGGUAGGCUUUUUGACUGACUUGUUAUGUGUUUUUUCAGUCAUAGUUCCGAAUUCAGUUAGAAGAAGCACACCGCUCGUCACCAACUCAUUCACCUGGUCACCAACUCAUUCACCUCUAAGCCAACUCAUGAACUUAGGGUAGAAGACCGCCUUUUCUUCCAAUAGAAUAGAAAGAAGUAACACUGGAAAAGGGGUAGGAAAAAGGUAUGCUAUGUUGUUGGAUCCGUAGAGCAAGGGGCGAGGUCAACCAUCAGUGAUUUAGCAGUGCCACCUGUCACUUUAAGGGUUCUCUCAUGCACUGUUUCAGGGAGAGGACAUCCGGCAGGACAAUCAGCAAGGGGAGCGGCAAAGUCUUCGAGCAGACAGUCAUCCCUAGAUGUAAAGGUAAGGGAAAGGGAGUGGGAAAUAGAGAAACCUUUAGUGUCCAUUUGAGAAAACACUCCUAUUCUUGUUCUUGUUGACGAACAAAAGAGUGGAUUCCAAGCUGGUUUCCCUACUUAGUGGAUCUAUAGAGAGAUAGAGCACAGGGGUGUUUACUUAUGCAAGGCAAUAAAGUUCGAGGCGGUAAGCAGAGCGGGACAAUGAGUUGAAUCGUCGGGACAAUCAGUGUUGUCAUCUAAGGAAAAAAGAAAUACAAAUAACGCACCUCACAAAGUAAGCUAAGGCGCAACCAACAAGAAAAUCCAAUCAUUGAAACUCGACGUCAUGCUAAGGCGAGUUGACCUGACCGCUCGAAAGAUGGCAUUCAAGCAGGGUGAAGGGAAUUGACUGCCCCAUACUCCACUCCAACCUGCGCCUCAAUUCGAACUUCCAGUAAGCAGGUGCUUAGAUUCGUAUCAGUACCAUUAGUCUCCCCUUUCUUAGUAGCAGCAAAAGCAUCCUAAAAGUAGUCAAUUCCAUUAUGCAAUUCCUAUUACCACUUCCGCGGUAAGUGAGUGGAUUGAGGUCAUAGAGAGGGGGAGUUGCAAGCUAUGAGGUCAUAGAGAGAGGGAGUUGCAAGCUAGUUCAAGUCCAGCAGCAAUCGGGUCUGUUCUGCAAGAGAAGUUAUGCGUCAGGAGAGGUGGGCAAGAAAGAGCACUGGGUUAGACAGAUUCAAUAAGAUAGUUGCCACUAGUAUACGAGGUUGACGAGAUAGAGUGCAAUUCCUACUUGCUGGUCGGUCCAGCUUCCUCACCUGUACUUUCUUAUGUAUCAAUUCUAUCUUUAUUAUGUAGCAAUUCUAUCUCAAGCUUCUGUAUUAAAUGCUUCUGUAUCAAAGCCGGUGCAGUACCAUAUUCUUCCUCAGACAGGCUAGGGACCCUGACUUACUAGGCGAGGCACCCGGAGACUUGAAACCCGAAGUCAGUGAAUUCCUUAGCAACCUGACCUAUGACUUUCAAUCUGCAUGUUAGAUCUGAGGCAAAAGCUAUAUCCUGUCCGAAGCCACUAGGGAGACUUAUCUUCUACAGGAACAGGCCUAGUAGCUGGGAGGAAGUAAACAGAUAUUAGAUAGGGAAGGGCAGAGUUAAGUACCGUGGCAGAGUAAAGUACAGGCGAGUCAAGAAGAAUCAGCUGGGUAUUGCGACUUUAGAGGGAAAAGAGAUUGGUUCGGUGCUAUAGUUCUGUCAACGAGAUCAUCAGCAGCUGUGAGAGUUGAAUACCGAGUGAACCUUUGGAAUUGAAGAAUCUCAUAUAGAAUAGAAGCAGUGUGAGUCAAAGUCUAGGGGCGGGUGCGUGUGUUUCAUCUUUGUUUGUUGGCGAAAGUGCCCUGUCCGUAUUUUAAGGCUUGAAGACCAGAGUUUCAUUCUGACUUUAGUAGAAGAAAUGAGUCAACUCUCUUCCACCGCUCCUGCAACUAAGUGUUUCUCCCUUGUAUUUCAUUCCAUAGUAAGAGCUUCGGCCUUUCCCUUUGAAGUAAUAUUCCUCUCUUAUAUACUUUAGCUCUAAAGAUUCCGAUUCCAUUAACCAAGAGUUCUGAACCAGGGAAUUCGAGAAUAGAUCCCCGGCAUAUGAGCCUGUUACUACUGUCUCUCUGCUCGACACCCUUGAUAUCAAACUAGCGCUACUGACUUGAAGUCUUUUACUACCUUUUAUCACUCUCCAGCUAAUGCUUCUCAUACUUUCACUGCUGAGCCCCAAGCUGCCCUCUUGACACAACAAUUAUGUAUUUAUAGCUUUAGUAUGCCUCUACUUGCUUGAAAGCCGAUACCAAUACCGAGAAGACCGUUCCUCAUAACCGGGAAUUCGACUCGAAACUGAGCAAUUGCACUCGGGAAUCUCACUUCAACUAUCAACUCUGGGAAUAGAGAAUACGGGUAUGAUACAACGCAUACAGCUAUGAAUAAGGUGCUGAAAGCCUACUAACAAUAAGAGUGGAACCAAUGCCAAUAGGAACUAAUAAUAGGAAUAACCCUAAGUAGUAAGGCUCAGUGAACUCAACUAGCAAGAGCAAGACCGAAACCCACUGACAGCAAGACGGACUCUUGACUUUAUAGAGCCCGCUCCUCGGUUAAAGUAGUCUAAACUCCAUUCUAUUGGCCUGUAACUACUGUAUCUAAUUCUUCAUCUACUGAAACAAAACCUUACUCACUAGCUUUAUCCUUACCCUCGUGCCCAGCGACUCCUUUAUCUCACCCUGUUGCGCCUUCCUUUCAUUUUCCUACCAGUACUUAUUUGGGUCUACCGCCAGUACUUAUUUGGGUCUACCGUUCCUGUCCUCAAUUCUGACUAAUACCAAUCCGAGUCUACUGACCCUGACCUUAAAGCAGUGUAUAGAAUAUCGGUUGACUCUCUUAUCUACUCGGGCAAUAAAGAGUUCUCUCCUGGGGCACUAAAGAUCCAAUUCAUUCUUUCUCAUCUGUAUGCUGGAUCAGAAUCUCAAGUAUGGAUACAGGUAAGGUCCGAUUACUCCUUUAUAUACCAGCUAGGGCUCGAAAGAAGGAUUCCAGUGCUGUUGACUCGGCAACUUACAAUAAAUACUCUGUGCUCUCACUGAUGAAACUACGAGUCCUGUGUUCGGAAACUCCAAAGUGAGAAUGAAAGGUGGAAUUGAGUCUACCCGCUCCUACCGCGCAACAAACUACUAAGCUUGGCCCAAGGAUCAAAGUCUUACAAUAGGAUCGGGCAGGAACCCAGUCCAAACGAAGAGAGCUAGGGUUUGUUUUUCAUUAAGAAUGAGAAUAUUCUUAAGAGAUCGUUCCUUACGUUUAGCAAUCAAUUAGAUCCCGACUGACAACGCUUGAAGCAUGGCUUGCCGUUUCAGGGGCUCGAUGCUUCUUUCUAUUCAUUCUUCGUAGCUUUCUUUUUCAUGUUAUUUGAUCAGGAAUGGGACUGAGAGAGCUAGCCCGGAUUCUGUCUUCAUUGACCUAGUAGCUGGACAAAGACCCAAGGACGGGGGCCAAUCAAUCUCAUCCGGAUCCCUAUUGGUGAGAAGACGGACUUUUCUCCCAUAAAGUGAUCAAGGAGCGUCAAAUAUUCUGAUACUAGGGUAAUAAGGAGCUCGCUCUUUCACUUGCAUAGUGAGGAUGCCCAUAAUCGGCUUUUGCUCUUUUCGAUUUCAAAGGAACCGCCAAGCUACGUAGUCCGGUCCGUCAAUGAAAGCCUUUAAUCCGCGGAAAGUAUAGGAUAUCUACAUACGCAGUGGAAAGUUAGAAACAUAAUAGGCAAGAUUGGAAUGCAAGAUAUUCCACUUAAGUAUCCUGACCUUCAGGUGAUCGAUCAUCGGAACGAUGACACUGAGCGAGAAAACCAAUCCUUAGGGAAACCUCGCUUUCUCUAACUAACUUAUUUCAUAACUUGGAAAGAGGUGCAGCAAUCAUUCGAAAGUUCGGAUGGAUGGAGCCAACGCCUUUCACUAAUAUACAGAAGUCACAUGGUUUCUCUACAAUGAGCAGGCAAUAACAUUUGAGAGCUAAGCCCCCACUUGUUAAGAUAUGCACGGGCCUGAAGCUGCUAAAGCGACUGCCAAUUCAAAGAAGAAAGAAGCUACACCGGCUUCUAUUAUAGAGGCCCGAACUCAGCUAGCCGUGCCCACUAUAUUAAUAAAGGUGGGGAGUUCUGCCUUUCUUUUGAUGUAGGCUUCCACACAUUGUAUAGUUCCACUCUCAUGCUUUCUUUUGAUGUAGGCUUCCACACGUUGUAUAGUUCCACUCUCAUGCUUUCUUCUCCUGAGAGUCUUCCUUGCCCUUCUUUCUUUGAGUGUAGCGUGUCGGUCUUUGCUAUUUCGGUCUCCCUCCUUUAGCCAAGAGACUCUGGCCUUCUGCUUAAAGUUCCACUCUUCUGUAUCUGGUUCAACUCAUCCAAUUUUAGAAUAGACUCUUAUGCUCUGCGAGCCUUUCAUUGAACUGGAAAAAGGAUAGGAUAGCUGGGAUUGGUCUAGUUCUUCUAUGUGCCUCUUUCUUUUUCUUUCUUUUAUCGACCCGUAACUUGGAAUCUUUCUUUUAUCGACCCGUAACUUGGAAAUGAAAGGAUUUGACGCUGCUUUGAAAAAUGGAAGCUUCUGGGCUACCUGGAACAUGGGGUUCGUUCCCUUUAAAGGUUGCCAGGCCUCUUGCACUGUUUUCUGAAACGAAAGAAGCCUCGUCCACAACAUGUUAAUAAUCAACAGGGUUUCGGGCUCGGCUCCUUUCAACAACAAGGCUGAGGUAAACAAUGAUAGGGGAGUUCAACCAUUAAGGAUAUUGUAAGCACUGAUUCACCCUCGGAGAACAAGAGCGGAACUGGCUAGAAUCCUUAUAGUUCGAUCCACAUUCCAUAGCUUCUGAUCUAGCUCCCGCACCUUUAGAAGUUGUAAAGCCACGCACUAGCUGACUUCCCCUAUUAGAUUGACCCCGCUGGCGAUCACAGAAGAUUCUUCCCUAUCAUUCCAUCGCUUCAUGCCUUCGACUGAGACCUAUCUGCUUAAUUCCCGAGUUGAACUUCACUUGGACACAGCCGACCAAAGGGGAGAGGGCAAGACUGCUUUUGCUUGAAAUGAAAGUCAAGUUUACUUUAUUGCGUACUUCUUUCCAUCCUGAGAAGGCUUUCAGCACCUUUGCUUUGGAAAGUUCCUAGAAACCAUUCUUAAUACGCUUAUUCUCUGACCGGCAUACCAUGCUACAUGAGUUCCAACCGGAUCUUUAUAACUAAGAGAAGAUUCGCUGCAAGGAGCUUAUUUACUGUUUCAUGCCCUACUGACUGAAUGGCUUUCCCUACCUCUUCCGGGCUUUAUUGCCAAAAGUGAUUAUAGCUUGAAUUGGAACCCACAACAAUCCGAAUCAAAUCCAGAUGCCAAUCCAAUGAGUUCGAGUUCCCGCAGCUGGAAGUAAAGCUAGCAGCGUAGUCGCCGACAUAGAAAGAGAAGACCUGAUCUUGGACUUGCAAGCUAUCUCGAGGGAAUCACUUGGAGCACAAGCUUUCGAGAAAGGUGAGAUACAAUCCAGAGAGUUCGAUCUCUGUAGUAAAGUCUAAGACAGUUUAUUCGGUAUCUAAGAAAACGAUUCUAGAAAGCGCUAGGCAUGCAUCUCAAGUCAUUCAAUGCUUCGCUUAAGGCAAUUUCCGUAAUAAUAGGAUGUAAGUUCCAGGUGAACCAUCUUAGACUAGCUAAUAAAGGAGAAUUUGUUCUAACACCUUUUUGAUUACGUAAAAGAAUGGAGCAAACGAACUCCUGACUCGACGCCUUGAGGUUUGGAUUGCUGCAGGUCUAAUAGUCGACGAAAGGAAAAAAGGAAAAGAGUUAUACGCGAAUUGCUACACCUUUAAGCCAAUUGAAUUAGUAAUCGAUGCUAGAAAGGCGAGAAUCCCUAGCCGGUGUUAUAGAAUUCCAUAGAGAAGAGAGACUAAGCCUGCUGUUAAUGAAUUGGACUGGACUCCUAAGAUAAUAUCCGGAACUGUUAAUGAAUUGGAUUCCUAAGAUAAUAUCCGGAACUCCAGGUUGAGUCAACAAUAAUUGUAAGUAGAGACUCUAGAUUCUAUAGACGGGCAUUCCUUUCGAUCUUGUAUCUAGAAGUUGAGGCUUGCAGCGCUCGCAAACACUAUCCCUUAGUAGAAAGCAUUGAAUGAAAGGUGGGAUGCCUUAGCUUUCAUGGAGAGGGUCGGGUCGUAGAAUCCCGGGGUUGAACUCCUACCUUAGAGUUACUGCACCGGGGGGCCUUAAAACCACCUUUUGGGGUAUUGGCGCAAUGACUGAAUUCUGCUAUUCUUUGUUACGAUAGCAGGGUUUGGUAUCCACUAGUUUCUAAGGGCCGCAUUUAGGAGUGAUUGAUCUGUUCAUCAAACUCUCAAUUGCAAAAAAGCAACAAAGUAGGAAGUCUGGUUCACAAGGUUAUACCACAGAAGGGCCCACUCAUAAGUUGCCUUUCCCCCAUUUCCAAAAGUGGUACAAGAGACAGGAUCAAAGGCUUUUCGAAAUUGGGAUUUGGUCUGUGUCAGUAGGUCUGAUGGAUGCGCCGUUUCGCGUCUAGUAGUGAUUUUGGUUGCUGAAGCCCCAGCCGAUCCUGUCGUGCCUUAAAGCUGGAAAGAAGAUGGAAAUUGAUGGUCCCCCCGGGUUAUGGAUCUGGCAAAAUAGGAAGUGCAAAAUCGCGAAACAAUGCUACAACUACAUCCUUCAUUCCUAUUGAAAGAGAAACUCAUCCAUGGAAACAGGUGAUUCAUGUUCAAGAGAGCUGCUUUGUAGGGAAAUAGACUAAUGUGACAUUGAAUCCUGUUACUUCUAUUUUCCUUCAUUGAGACCGAAACGGAGAAAUUCCAUAAAAAAGGAUGCAUUAGAAGGAGUGGUUUCUCUAUCCCCGCUAAUGCUUUCUAGUUCCCCCGGUUACCUCUACCAAAAUGGAUUCUAGCAAAGCGGUUAUUUACCCCAUUUGGAUGGAUUUGGAUGGAGAAAUACUCACUAUUGAACUGGGGCGAGCCCCUGCUACUUGUAAUCGAGGUUGAAUCUCUAUUCCCCCAAUAUGGAAAAAUGAAUAUUCUCGAAAUAUAAGAGUUUUCCUAAACUAAUUGCGUUUCUAUCUAUAUGAACGGAGGAUGAUGAAUCUAUUUCGUGGGUCCUGGCAACACCCUUAUGCUAUAUAUAGAUUCGUGGGUCCUGGCAACACCCUUAUGCUAUAUAUAGACCCUUUGUCCUAAUUUGAUCUUUAAGUCGAUUCGGAAUGAACAUAUAUUGUGGAUCGAAUGUUGCUAUCUUUACGAAAAUGUGUUAAGGUCCCUUAAAAGAAAAGGAAUAGCUGCUCAUUCAAUGAACGACGCCUAAAAUGAAUGUAUAUAUUUGAUUCCUUAGCUUGGCUCUCAUUUCAGGAACGGAGGCUGAACGGGCUGAGGCUUCCGGUGUCCAUAAGGCUAACGUAGAAUCCAAUAAUCUAAUCAUAUAUUAAUCGAUUUCAUAUAUAUCAUAUUACUUGCUAUAACUAGGAGUAUAUUCGAAGGUAAGUAACAAGGGCCAAGUAGUUAAGGCUAAAGCCAAUUUCAGAGAGGCGAGAACCCUUAAAGGUCUGUUUCAAUACUCAAGAUAGCUGGUUGUGAUUCCUUAGAAUAAGGGUAGCUAAUCACAAACAAGGUAAGAAAAAAGUGAGAAAGGCGAGCAAUAGGACGGAAACAAAAGAAAGAGGCGGCGAGCUACUCCAGAACGAGCGACCUGUAAGCUAAUAGACCGUUAGGAGGAAAACCGACCUGGUGAUAAAGAAUGGGAGCUAAGUAUUUAUUACGAACGGAUGAAAAAGGAGGUGCUGAAAGCCUGUGAAAAUCCAGAACCAAAAAAGAGUGGAGUCCCGUGCCGGAUAUUCGAUGGCUCUCUAUCGAACCUUCCUUUGUCACGAGUCAUUGACUGCUGUAACGUGCCUUGGCCAUCGAGCUACUCAAGGUAAGACUUCCAAAAAGAUGAUAAUAAGCAACAUGCUAAAUAGCAUUGUUUCUAUCGUUGGCAUGUAGUUUUGGAUAUAUAAGAUAAUGGGAAGAAAAGUGACCUACUUGAAGAUAAUGGGAAGAAAAGUGACCUACUUAUAGCCUUAUCCAUAUUACUUAGACUUUGAUGGCUGACGGUAAGCAGAGUUUUGAUUGACCAUACUAUCAUAAAGGCAAUUAGGUAAGCCUACGCCCACUCCAUCCCUAUUGUUGUGUUUUAUUCCAAUGGGAUUUGGGGCACGGAUUCAACAAGUACACCACAAAAGCAACGGCUUCGGCCCAAAAGUAGCAUGUUUAUACCUUUCAACAUACUAUGUGCCACAUGUUUAUACCUUUCAACAUACUAUGUGCCAUUUAAAGGAUUGUGCGUUUCUUUCUUUCGGCAAAACACCAGUUGAGGUUCAUAUGGUGCGGUCAAAGGACGACGAAUACCAUGCUUUUGACAAAUAGCUUCGAAGGCUUUUGUUGAUGUAAAUGCGCCUCCACCUAUUCCCUACAAAGCCGGUUCCAAUCAAACUGCAUACAGAACAAUGAUGGAAGAAAGAGAUAGGACUCGAAAGAGAGGAGAGGUAAGUAUACAGGAAGAGAUGUCCUUUUACCUCUAUUGGAUUUGCGCCUCGUUUGCUAUCAAUCUGUUCAGAUACAAAACCAAGUGGAAGCCCCAUUGCGAAAACUAUUGACGAGGCAGACGGAUAAAUGGCUCUUGCCCUAUUUUAGCUAGGACUUGCCUCAAAAUGUCUUGGCCAAAUAGUGGUCGGCUAGUGCGGGCCCAGGCAUACUUCCUGAGAUUGCUGCACGAACUCUUCACGAUCCUGCUGAAGAUGCUUACUCUUAUUCCAUAAUUACCAAGAAUUGAUAUAUAAGGAAAAGAGCUCGAUGACCUUAAUCACUCUGUUAGCGCAGAUCAAUCCUAUGAUGAAAUAAUGAGAAAUGUCUAUUCAAGGGCAAAAGCUUUUUCUCUUUAGACUACCGAUUCUAUUGAAUGAAACGGAGUCUGGGCCCGAUCAUGCUUAAACGAAUUCUUAAAGAGAAAGAGGAGGC